AUGGGUGUACAUGGGGGGUGGGGUGAGUGCAGUCACCAAGGGGGCCGGCAGCUGUGCAGGUCCUGGGCCCUCACUCACAAUUGGAGGAAGGAAUUCAGGAAGUGCUCACAGCUGCUCAGACAUCUCAGAGCUUCGUCCCAGGCAGCACCAAGGCUGAGGCACCCAGGGAUGAGCGUUCCAUGGCCUGGGCCCUGGGGUAGCCAUCAGGUCAGGAGACCCCGGCACUGCAUACAGCCACAGCUGCCCCUCUGGAAGCCCGGGCUUCCGCAUCCAAGAAGUCUUGAGCUUACGUCUUUCAGGACAGCGCUUCUUCCAGAGCUGCCAGUGGAGUUGCCCACGGCUCUUGGAAGCCUGGCCCAAGGCUGAGAAAACAGUGACAGAGACCCAGUGAGGUCGAAAUAGAGCCGUGUGGGGUGCCCAACAGCCCAGAGUGGGUACCAGCCAGGGCCUCAGACCAGUAUCUCCUUAGAAGACCACAGGGAGAGCAGCCGGAGGAGCAAGGGUACCUGCCAUCACCAGCAGCUCCUCGCUUCAGAUGGGGAGCGAAUGAGGUCCAAAACACACCCUGGGUUGCUCAGUGGGUUAGUGGCCAUACGGGGCCAUGGAAACAGCAGUGAUUGGAGUGGUGGCUGUGCUAUUCGUGGUCACCGUGGCCAUCACCUGUGUCCUCUGCUGCUUCAGCUGUGACUCAAGGAGCCAGGAUCCUCAGGGGGCCCCGAGCCCCAGCUUCACAGUAGCCACGUUUCGCAAGGAGGCUUCUCUCUUCACUGGGCCAGAUCACAAUGCUCAGCCAGUGGCAGGUGCCUGGGACUUCUGGACCUUCAUGUGAAAUAUACCAGCCCCCCAGGAUUUGCUCUUGUUGUUUAGUCGCUCAGUCGUGUCCAACUCUUUGUGACCCCAUGGAUUGUAGCCUGCCAGAUUCUGCUGUCCGUGGAAUUCUCCAGGCAAGAAUACUGGACUGGGUAGCCAUUCUCUUCUGCAGGGGAUCUUCUUGACCCAGGGACUGAAGCCAAGUUUCCUGUAUUAGCAGGCGGAUUCUUUACCAUGAAGCCACCAGGAAAGCCCAAGAUUUCCUCUGCUGCUGGUCAGACUCCUCUUCCCCCAGCAAGCCUUCUCUGGUGACCCACUCCUCCAGCCUGGCAUUUCUGUCCCAUCCAGCCUGUAUCCAGCAGACUCCUGGCCCAUCCUAUCCUGGUUUGCCAUGCCCUCCAGCCUGGGAGAUCUAUGGUGAUGGGACCAGGUAGGAGUUAGCUCUGACCCCUGAGAGUUCAGCUGGACCCUACCCACAGGGUGGGGCUUACGAGAGGUUGAGAGUGAGUGACCAGGCAAUAUUGGAUGGCAUGGUGGGCCAGCUCUUCUGAUCUACAAGGUGCAGUGAAAUAUCACUGGACUUUAUUGUGAAAAGAGUGUUGAUUAUCUCAAGUUGUCCCUGUGAAACUGGUUCUAUUGCCACCAGAGGAAGCAGCGCCCUCAAGUGGACAGUUUUAGAAACCACUUUUUAUCUCUCAAGUGAGUCAUUUUGCUAUUUGCCUGCGCAUGUACUGCAGAGCCCACUUCUGAGACCUGCCUCCUACCUGUUACCUGAAAUCCGCCCUGAAAUUCUGAAACCAAAGGGCUGCUUCCUGGGAACUGGCGAUUCAUUUGAAAAUGCAUAUCCUUUUAUGGGUCUCCCAAGAAUCGGGGCUGGGAAACCACAAAAGGAAACAAAGAAAAAAAGUCACAGAAAGUACCAGAUGUUUUAUUAAUAGGAAAGCCAGAAAGAAGACUUUGAAACAUAUUUGCAUGAGACUUUGUUUCUAUAUUCUUAUGGGUCACUUCUAUUCUUAGAGACUGUGACUUGCAUCACUCAAGAAUGAUGGAAAAAUCACCAACUGAAAGGUAAUUUCGAAUAAGUUAAAAUGUUAUAUUAUGUUGACAGUAUGUAACAAAGCUCUUGUUUGCAUCACAAAUAAAGAGAUGUUCUGCUUUU
rnacentral:lncRNA from 1 species